ensembl:lncRNA
GUUACAAAUACGCAGUUAAGUUUUAGGAGGCAGAGACUUGCAGGUGGAAUGUUACCAAACUGGAACCGAGGAAUGAAAUCACACUGGUUGCUCAAGAUGGCAUCGAUCCUACCAGCGUCGUCGCUCUAGAAACAAAUCUGAUUGGGCAAAUAUUUUUUUCCACUUCACUCCAGGUUUACUCACGUUAAGCUGCAGCUCAUAUCAGUGUCGUCAUCUUUUAUUUUAACUUCAAAGAAGAUCGCCAACAUUCUGUCGAGGUUUUUGUUCGGUUGAAGUUUCUCUCGUCAUCUAUUCUACGUAUUGAAAAGAGAUAGUUUUGGUUUUAUUCUGAGAACUGUCUGCGGUCCAAGCAACACGCAGUGCGUCCACUGUGCAGGUCACCGUGACCCAUAAACCUUGACCCCCAACCACCUCGACAUCCACGAUGGC